rnacentral:tRNA from 1 species
AAACUCGGUUGGGAACAAAGUGGGGCUGCUAACUUUACUUUGGGUGGUUCGACUCUAUCCCGGGUUUU